rfam:Nestor notabilis contig22147, whole genome shotgun sequence.
GGAUGAUUGAUUGUACCCGCCAGCUGGCUAAUAUCAUAAUUAACAAAGUUGCUACCAUGUCUGAGAAGUUUAAUCGAAAAAAUUGCCAGCAGUAUGAUGCCAUUGUCACAGAGAUCACAAGCGCUGCAGUGUCGACUUUUGUACUGGUGGAGCCGCAGGACUAUGUAGAUGAUGUGCUGAGAAGUCGUUGACUGGGAUCACUAAA